rnacentral:lncRNA from 1 species
GUAAUAUUGCAACACAGGCUGCACCUGCUGGGGAGCCCAGUCCUGCUCCAGGAAGCCUUCCGGUGACUCAGUACAUGGGUUGCAGUUCUGCCUGAACUACCCAGAGAUGUCUACCAGAUGCCUUUGGAGGAGAGGUGAACCCCUAUGUGAACAGAUGAACCUGACACUUACUGCCAAAUGACCAAUCAGAGCGUGGACACGAUGCACACUUGAUAAGGAACAGACGUGGCUGAGUCUAAGGUGAAUCUUCAGAAACCAAUAUGAUGAGUGUUGUAAUGGAUGUUCUUAAUGCACUCUCGUGAAAUAAAGAAAUGUUUUCG